UCAUGAACAACGCAAAUAACAACGUCUAUGCUCCCCUGCUAUAUGCCUGAUGCGAGGUGGCAACUCCGUUGCUGCCCAAGAGUACUGGGAUCGUGAGGAACACAAGACGGAGAACAAAGCGAGCAAUCUUGGGUGCGGUGCUUCCCGGCUUCUGGCCACAUGGGGAGGACCGCAAUGAUUGAGCGUACAU
rnacentral:sRNA from 1 species